UGCAAGUCGAGCGAAUGGAUUAAGAGCUUGCUCUUAUGAAGUUAGCGGCGGACGGGUGAGUAACACGUGGGUAACCUGCCCAUAAGACUGGGAUAACUCCGGGAAACCGGGGCUAAUACCGGAUAACAUUUUGAACCGCAUGGUUCGAAAUUGAAAGGCGGCUUCGGCUGUCACUUAUGGAUGGACCCGCGUCGCAUUAGCUAGUUGGUGAGGUAACGGCUCACCAAGGCAACGAUGCGUAGCCGACCUGAGAGGGUGAUCGGCCACACUGGGACUGAGACACGGCCCAGACUCCUACGGGAGGCAGCAGUAGGGAAUCUUCCGCAAUGGACGAAAGUCUGACGGAGCAACGCCGCGUGAGUGAUGAAGGCUUUCGGGUCGUAAAACUCUGUUGUUAGGGAAGAACAAGUGCUAGUUGAAUAAGCUGGCACCUUGACGGUACCUAACCAGAAAGCCACGGCUAACUACGUGCCAGCAGCCGCGGUAAUACGUAGGUGGCAAGCGUUAUCCGGAAUUAUUGGGCGUAAAGCGCGCGCAGGUGGUUUCUUAAGUCUGAUGUGAAAGCCCACGGCUCAACCGUGGAGGGUCAUUGGAAACUGGGAGACUUGAGUGCAGAAGAGGAAAGUGGAAUUCCAUGUGUAGCGGU
rnacentral:rRNA from 1 species